rnacentral:rRNA from 18 species
CCGAAAUGCAUUUAGGUGCAGCGUUGCGUGGUUCUUGUUGGAGGUAGAGCACUGGAUGGUCUAGGGGGCUUAUCGGCUUACCGAAAUCAGCCAAACUCCGAAUGCUGGCAAGUGUAGCGUGGCAGUGAGACGGCGGGGGAUAAGCUUCGUCGUCGAGAGGGAAACAGCCCAGAUCAUCAGCUAAGGCCCCUAAGUGGUGACUCAGUGGGAAAGGAUGUGGAGUUGCGUAGACAACCAGGAGGUUGGCUUGGAAGCAGCCAUCCUUGAAAGA